rnacentral:sRNA from 1 species
GCUGGGUGUGGUGGUGCAUGCCUGUAAUCCCAGCAGCUUUGGAAGUAGAGGCAGGAGGAUCACAAGUUCAAGGCUAGCCUCAGCAAUUUAGCAAGGUCCUAAGCAAUUUAGUGAGACCCUUUCUCAA